UACGGAGGGUGCGAACGUUAAUCGGAAUCACUGGGCGUAAAGCGCGCGUAGGCGGUUUGUUAAGUGGGAUGUGAAAUCCCCGGGCUUAACCUGGGAAUUGCAUUUCAAACUGGCCGACUAGAGUACGGUAGAGGGAGGUAGAAUUUCCUGUGUAGCGGUGAAAUGCGUAGAUAUAGGAAGGAAUACCAGUGGCGAAGUCGGCCUCCUGGAUCGAUACUGACGCUGAGGAGCGAAAGCGUGGGGAGCGAACAGG
rnacentral:rRNA from 1 species